CCGGGCAAUAACGCCAUUCAUGCAUCCCUAAAAAAAACAAAAAAUCAAAAUCCAUUCAAUAACGGCUACUCCUCCAUACACACCAUUCAUCCAUCCAUCCAUCCAUCCAUCCGUCCUGCUUUUCAGCCAUUCAUAGCAGCACCCAUCUCUGCAUCCGUACGAUCAUCCUCCAUCCAUCCCUCCAUCCUCCUUCCCUCCGUCACAAUGCAGGAGCCGCCUGCCAGUCUUCCCGGCUGGCUGGCAGCCUCCGUCACGGGAAGACAGGAAGCGCACGUGCCAGGGUCCUCACGUGCGGCGAGGUGGCAGACGGACGCUCACGCGCACUGGCGGCCGCCUAAAAAUAGCAUCGGCGGAGGAGGAGACUAUACGCUGCCGUUAAAUAGAAAUCCGCCAGUUAUUUUUAAACUCGGAGUCCCUCUGCUGCAAUCUUGGACGUGACUUCCCUGUUAAAAAAAAAAAAAAAAAAAAAAAGAAGAAGUCUUCUAUUUUUGUCCGCAUGUGCCAUCCCUCGGUGUGUAUACUUUGCGUUCGCGCGAGCUGCUGAUGAAUGACUGUGGGCAUCUAACGACAAGAAAGCUCCGUCACCAUACCAACCGUUUCUUGCAUUUAGGAGUUGAUUACUCGCACUCGGAUGCCUUUAUGCUUUAUGAUUCUGGCCUUCUCUUGUAAUUUUCGCAUCUCUUCGUGCUCAAGAAACCUCUGAGCAGCUCCAACCACACCACACCAAGAAAAAGUCCUAUGUAGAAGAAGAAUAACAGAAAUCUCCUUCAAAAGCUUUUUUUCUGGUGGCUCGAUGCACUGCUGCCCGAGUGUAUUGUCGUGGGAGCAGUAAUGGCAUCUCAAGAGAGAGUCGAAAACCUUCCUGCUCUCCACGUCUGCUCGAACCUCCUGAUGGAAAAAAUGUGUCCAAACACCGAUGCGAGUCCAGGGGCACCUCAAACCGCUCUUUCCCCAAGACUUGGCGGCGCCCGCAUGCCUACACAGCGGCGGACGUUGUUAGCCAGAGAAACAAAGACGUCGGCGACGGAACAAGCAAAGGAGAAGAAUAAAAAGGUCGAACAAAAAAAAACCAAAAAAUGAGUUGUUAAAAAAGAAAGAAAGAAGACAGAGGUGAUAAUGAGGCUGUGACAUUACUUCCUGCAUCAUUUUCAUUGGUGGAGAAAACCUUGUUGGUGAGCGUAGCGACAGAACUGGAGUUGGUCAGCGGAUAUGCAUGCAGUUUUUUUUUAGCCCAGAAACUCAGUAAUCCUCGGGGUUAGAUUAGGUUAGGUUAGGUUGGUCUUCAUCCAAGAUUUGCGUACUCCAUUCGCUGGCUACUGAAUCUCCCGCCAAACAUUGUUUACACCUCCAUCCUUGAGGAUUUCGUUCACUAUGUUCUGUACCUCGUACUCACAUUUUCUUUUUCAGUUCUACAAGAUCAAAUUGAUCAAAUAUUUUUGCUUCAUUUUGCGAGCCAAAUGCUGUUAGCCUCCCUAACUUCGACUACUCGCCGCGAGUCUUAAAAUAUUCAUACCGGCGGGACCGCAGGAUUGGUGACAAGGAACAAGGGCAGUGGCGCCAAGGGAAGCUUCAUUUUUGUUGCCAAAAUGUUAUGGCCAAUAAUGCGCGGACGACACCUUUGUGCUAAUGAGAACUUUAAUUAGGUCAACAAACACACUACAUUCCGAUUCACGACAAUUGUGUCGCUUGACGGUACUGUGCCGUAAUACAUAGGCAAGUCGAAUUGUUUUACCAAAAAUGAGACUGGUAGCACUUGCAAAACACACAAGUAUAUGUUCAAAUAAAAUAAAAACAUGAGUCAAAUAAAAACAGUAAAACAGAGAAAUGCUUACUUUUUUGGAACCGGGUUUCAAUGUCCCGUCUUAUGACACGCUAUACUAUGGAAAGUUUGUUAAAAAGAAAAACAUUCAGCAUAAUGUUGAGUUUUAUUUGUUUCUAUGACCGUCUGUCAAAAUAUGUCUUCAUGUGGAAUUCCUCCGUGAUUACUGUGCUGCAAAAAUAUCAAUGAUCGCACCAAUUAAUCAACUUCUACUCGACUUUCAUCGCAUUAUAGUCGACUACAAAAAAUCUCAGGCUGUUCAACCCCGAACAAGUGGAAAAGAAAAGGGAUGGAUGGAUGCAUUCUGUAUAUAAACAUAAUCAAUAAACAACCAUAAAAAUUGGACACAGCUCAUUUCUAUGCAAGUGAGCAAACAUUCCUGCAAGGGGAUCAAAUACAGUAGUUCGCUGUACACGUUGAAUCUGCCAGUUGACCCUACCUCCCAGUGACAUUAUUUAUGUGGCAGACUGAAACACAGAACUCACUGACAUGUCACCUUGCUGCUCUCAAGUGUCUUUGCUUGUAUUCCCAUCUUCACACCCUCUCAAGCGGCACAAAGCUGCAGCAGGAGAGCCUGUGAACAAUGUCUUUCCGCAUGACCUCCACUCGCGUGUAAAGUGCACAUGCAAGACAUAAAGGAGGUUAUGUUUCGCGUUGUUUCCGGAGUGAGUGGCUUGUUGUGUGAAUUCCGUAAAACCUCUCAAAACAAGUGUCCAAUUGAUUGCUGUGUAAUUCCACGUUUGCGUUUGUACAAUGUGUCAAAUGGACGAUGACCGGAUCCAUCUCAUGACCGCCGUCAGAAGGAAGGGAAAAGUCACCUUUAUUACCUUAACAAUGUUGACAGAACGUACAAUAAAGCAACAAAUCCGGCGGCUUGCUGGCAUUUUUAUGUUUGCUUUGCUGCUAAUGGAUUUGUAACCACAGGUGCUUUGUGUCUUUUUUACGACGCGUGUCUCACACGCUCCAAAUGUCAACAUGCUAUCGCCGCUUCUCUCCUCGGCGGUGACAGCAUCGUCCUUUUGUCAGUUAAAAAAUGACUCUAUGCAAAUUGUAGGAAAUCAUGCAACAGGUUUAUAAAGAUUGCACCCAAAUUGAAUUUUCCCCCCAAAAAAUUAAACAUUCUGGACACUGUCUCAUAGGCUGCUAUUUCCAUGGAAUU